UACGUAGGGUGCAAGCGUUGUCCGGAAUUAUUGGGCGUAAAGAGCUCGUAGGCGGUUCGUCGCGUCGGCUGUGAAAUCCCGAGGCUCAACCUCGGGUCUGCAGUCGAUACGGGCGGACUGGAGUUCGGCAGGGGAGACUGGAAUUCCUGGUGUAGCGGUGAAAUGCGCAGAUAUCAGGAGGAACACCCGUGGCUAAGGCGGUUCUCUAGUACGGUACUGACGCUGAGACGCGAAAGCGUGGGGAGCGAA
rnacentral:rRNA from 1 species